rnacentral:rRNA from 1 species
CAGCCGCCGCGGGAAUACGUAGGGUGCGAGCGUUAAUCGGAUUUACUGGGCGUAAAGCGUGCGCAGGCGGCCCGUUAAGGCAGGUGUGAAAUCCCUGGGCUCAACCUAGGAAUUGCGCUUGUGACUGGCGGGCUCGAGUACGGUAGAGGGGGGUGGAAUUCCUGGUGUAGCAGUGAAAUGCGUAGAGAUCAGGAGGAACACCGAUGGCGAAGGCAGCCCCCUGGGCCUGUACUGACGCUCAUGCACGAAAGCGUGGGGAGCAAACAGGAUUAGAUACCCCUGUAGUCCCUGUCUCUUAUAA